CCUCGUUUCAUUCAUUUCCAUCCUCCCUUACCAUCCCUUACCAUUAGCAUCUUCUCCUACUUUUUUCACUCGUCAAAGAUCACCACCAAGUCACCACUCAACCUCCUUCAUGCCUUUCCAUUUUUUUCUCUCUGAAAAACGCAGAUGAGUAACGUCCAACAGCCAACAUUCAACGAUCAAGGAAGAUUACCAAAAAGGAUGACCAUUGUACUUUUAGAUUCUUGCCUCCAAAUCUCCAGCCUCACGGGAAGUUCCUAAGCAUGCAAUAUAGAAGACUCCAUGAAGCAAGGACUCAUUCAUUUGUUCCCCAGUUUAGAACCUCUUUUGCUAUUAUUAUUUUCAUGAGGAAAGGCAUAGAAAAAUUUUACUCCCGGUGCUUUAGCUUCAAAAUUUACCUUUAGUCAGAUUAUGUAAACUAAGAAAGUGUACCACCCCCUGGUGAUUAUUGAUUUUUAUAUUGUUAGCUG